AUGAACGCUAGCUACAGGCUUAACACAUGCAAGUCGAGGGGCAGCAUGGUCUUAGCUUGCUAAGGCCGAUGGCGACCGGCGCACGGGUGAGUAACACGUAUCCAACCUGCCGUCUACUCUUGGACAGCCUUCUGAAAGGAAGAUUAAUACAAGAUGGCAUCAUGAGUCCGCAUGUUCACAUGAUUAAAGGUAUUCCGGUAGACGAUGGGGAUGCGUUCCAUUAGAUAGUAGGCGGGGUAACGGCCCACCUAGUCUUCGAUGGAUAGGGGUUCUGAGAGGAAGGUCCCCCACAUUGGAACUGAGACACGGUCCAAACUCCUACGGGAGGCAGCAGUGAGGAAUAUUGGUCAAUGGGCGAGAGCCUGAACCAGCCAAGUAGCGUGAAGGAUGACUGCCCUAUGGGUUGUAAACUUCUUUUAUAAAGGAAUAAAGUCGGGUAUGGAUACCCGUUUGCAUGUACUUUAUGAAUAAGGAUCGGCUAACUCCGUGCCAGCAGCCGCGGUAAUACGGAGGAUCCGAGCGUUAUCCGGAUUUAUUGGGUUUAAAGGGAGCGUAGAUGGAUGUUUAAGUCAGUUGUGAAAGUUUGCGGCUCAACCGUAAAAUUGCAGUUGAUACUGGAUAUCUUGAGUGCAGUUGAGGCAGGCGGAAUUCGUGGUGUAGCGGUGAAAUGCUUAGAUAUCACGAAGAACUCCGAUUGCGAAGGCAGCCUGCUAAGCUGCAACUGACAUUGAGGCUCGAAAGUGUGGGUAUCAAACAGGAUUAGAUACCCUGGUAGUCCACGCCGUAAACGAUGAAUACUAGGUGUUGGGAAGCAUUGCUUCUCGGUGCCGUCGCAAACGCAGUAAGUAUUCCACCUGGGGAGUACGUUCGCAAGAAUGAAACUCAAAGGAAUUGACGGGGGCCCGCACAAGCGGAGGAACAUGUGGUUUAAUUCGAUGAUACGCGAGGAACCUUACCCGGGCUUAAAUUGCAGAUGAAUUACGGUGAAAGCCGUAAGCCGCAAGGCAUCUGUGAAGGUGCUGCAUGGUUGUCGUCAGCUCGUGCCGUGAGGUGUCGGCUUAAGUGCCAUAACGAGCGCAACCCUUGUUGUCAGUUACUAACAGGUUCCGCUGAGGACUCUGACAAGACUGCCAUCGUAAGAUGUGAGGAAGGUGGGGAUGACGUCAAAUCAGCACGGCCCUUACGUCCGGGGCUACACACGUGUUACAAUGGGGGGUACAGAGGGCCGCUACCACGCGAGUGGAUGCCAAUCCCCAAAACCUCUCUCAGUUCGGACUGGAGUCUGCAACCCGACUCCACGAAGCUGGAUUCGCUAGUAAUCGCGCAUCAGCCACGGCGCGGUGAAUACGUUCCCGGGCCUUGUACACACCGCCCGUCAAGCCAUGGGAGCCGGGGGUACCUGAAGUGCGUAACCGCGAGGAGCGCCCUAGGGUAAAACUGGUGACUGGGGCU
rnacentral:rRNA from 1 species